rnacentral:rRNA from 1 species
GCAGGCACACCGGGUGCAAGCAGAAGCCAUCCAGGCCGUAAAGAUGAUGAAGGCCCCACGAAAAAUAAGUCCGUUAAGAGCGGAAGGAUAUGACGGUACCGGCAAAAGAAGCCCCGGCUAACUUCGUGCCAGCAGCCGCGGUAAUACGAAGGGGGCAAGCGUUGCUCGGAAUCAUUGGGCGUAAAGGGCAGGUAGGCGGACUCAUAAGUCGGGGUGAAAUCCUGGAGCUUACCUCCAGAACUGCCCAGAAUACUGAGAGUCUUGAGUCCUGGAGAGGGGAGUGGAAUUUGCGAGUGUAGAGGUGAAAUUCGUAGAUAUUCGCAAGAACACCCAAGGGCGAAGGCGGCUCACGGACCCGGUACUGACAGUUGAACUACGAAA